GCCCGGCUAGCUCAAUCGGUAGAGCGUGAGACUCUUAGUACAGAUGAUGAUGAGGAUCAUCAUGAGGUCCUCACGAUUCUGACAGAGAUAUAUCUCAAGGUUGUGGGUUCGACCCCCACGUCGGGCU